UUAAUAACCUAUAUAGAAUCAAUAAUUAAUAAUGUAUGUGGUUUAGAUUAGCGAUCAUUAUUACACUUUGAAGAGGAGUUAGUCUACCAUUGGCCUAAUUGGUAGAGUGAACAUCAUAAUUUGUGUUAGGGGGGUUUGCAUAUGCGCAACCACUAU